rnacentral:lncRNA from 1 species
CGUCUCAUAUUACCAUUAAAAUUACAAAAUUUGAAACUAUUUUAUCAUUAGGUCAAUGACGUCGAAAAAUUUAAAAGUUGAUUUCUAAAUAUUUUAAAUGAUAUAGAUCACAUUCAACGGUGUCGAUCGUCGAUUUGGAAAAGCUUCUUUAUCGAAAACAAAUGGAUGACAACGGAACCGAUUUGCUACUGAUAGCAUUCCAGCUCCAACUCCAUAUGUAUAUAUAUGU